rnacentral:rRNA from 1 species
GAUGAACGCUAGCUACAGGCUUAACACAUGCAAGUCGAGGGGUAGCAGGGCCUAGCAAUAGGUUGCUGACGACCGGCGCACGGGUGAGUAACACGUAUCCAACCUGCCCUAUACUCGGGGAUAGCCUUUCGAAAGAAAGAUUAAUACCCGAUAGUAUAAUUAGAUCGCCUGAUUUGAUUAUUAAAGAAUUUCGGUAUAGGAUGGGGAUGCGUUCCAUUAGAUUGUUGGUGGG